rnacentral:rRNA from 1 species
GCAAGUCGAACGCGAACGUACCUUCGGGUAUUAGUAGAGUGGCGGACGGGUGAGUAACGCGUGGGAAUCUACCCAGUAGCGGGGGAUAACUCGAGGAAACUCGAGCUAAUACCGCAUACGCCCCAAGGGGGAAAGGCUUCGGCCACUAUUGGAUGAGCCCGCGUCAGAUUAGCUUGUUGGUAGGGUAAUGGCCUACCAAGGCAACGAUCUGUAGCUGGUCUGAGAGGACGAAC